AAUUCUCAACCUUUCCAUUUUGUAACGAAGUGUUGAAAGGCUUGGAUGUGGAGGUUGCUGGCUCUAGUAGUCAGCUCUUCUGAAAUGCAUUAGCGGAGACUUGUAGUCUAUCUCCCUUGGUGUGAUAAUUAUCUACGCCUCGGUUGACUAUGAAAAUGCUUUGCUCUCUAAUCGUCUACUUGUAGACAAUUAUCAAA
rnacentral:misc_RNA from 1 species